rnacentral:rRNA from 1 species
GACGAACGCUGGCGGCGUGCCUAAUACAUGCAAGUAGAACGCACAGUUUAUACCGUAGCUUGCUACACCAUAAACUGUGAGUUGCGAACGGGUGAGUAACGCGUAGGUAACCUGCCUGGUAGCGGGGGAUAACUAUUGGAAACGAUAGCUAAUACCGCAUAAUAUUAAUUAUUGCAUGAUAAUUGAUUGAAAGAUGCAAUUGCAUCACUACCAGAUGGACCUGCGUUGUAUUAGCUAGUAGGUGAGGUAACGGCUCACCUAGGCGACGAUACAUAGCCGACCUGAGAGGGUGAUCGGCCACACUGGGACUGAGACACGGCCCAGACUCCUACGGGAGGCAGCAGUAGGGAAUCUUCGGCAAUGGACGAAAGUCUGACCGAGCAACGCCGCGUGAGUGAAGAAGGUUUUCGGAUCGUAAAGCUCUGUUGUAGAGAAGAACGGGUGUGAGAGUGGAAAGUUCACACUGUGACGGUAUCUUACCAGAAAGGGACGGCUAACUACGUG